rnacentral:lncRNA from 1 species
GCGGCAGGGGAAAGAGAGGGACCGGAGGCAGCCAUAGGGAGGUGGGUCGGGGGCGCGGAGAGGUGGUCGACGGCUCGAAGAAAUUGAAUUCGAUGGCGAUGGAAAGAGGGAGACCGAUGGCAGCCAGGAUGAGGUGGGUGGCUCGAGAAGGUGAGAGGCGGCUAGGGGCUCACGGUCAGGGGCACGGGGAGGCCAAGGGGAGGUGGUCGAGGGCUCAGGGAUGUGAGAUCUGGUGGCCUG